GAUGAACGCUGGCGGCGUGCCUAAUACAUGCAAGUCGAGCGAACAGAUAAGGAGCUUGCUCCUUUGACGUUAGCGGCGGACGGGUGAGUAACACGUGGGUAACCUACCUAUAAGACUGGAAUAACUCCGGGAAACCGGGGCUAAUGCCGGAUAACAUUUAGAACCGCAUGGUUCUAAAGUGAAAGAUGGUUUUGCUAUCACUUAUAGAUGGACCCGCGCCGUAUUAGCUAGUUGGUAAGGUAACGGCUUACCAAGGCAACGAUACGUAGCCGACCUGAGAGGGUGAUCGGCCACACUGGAACUGAGACACGGUCCAGACUCCUACGGGAGGCAGCAGUAGGGAAUCUUCCGCAAUGGGCGAAAGCCUGACGGAGCAACGCCGCGUGAGUGAUGAAGGUCUUCGGAUCGUAAAACUCUGUUAUUAGGGAAGGACAAAUGUGUAAGUAACUGUGCACGUCUUGACGGUACCUAAUCAGAAAGCCACGGCUAACUACGUG
rnacentral:rRNA from 1 species